rnacentral:rRNA from 1 species
GGGGGGAUACUCUCAGCAUGCCUGCCCAGUGCGGUUAGAUAGUCGUAAACGGCCGCCCUAGCGUGAGGGUGCUAAGGUAGCGAAAUUCCUUGCCUUUUAAUUGUAGGCCUGCAUGAAUGGUUUGACGAGGGCUUAACUGUCUCUAGUUUUUAUAUCAAAAUUGGAUUAAAGGUGAAGAUACCUUUAUAAAAAAGUCAGACAAGAAGACCCCGUGCAACUUUUAAAGUCAGUUUAUUAAGAAGUACAAGAUUUUUAGGUGGGGCGCCUAUUGAGUAAAACUAACCUCUAUGUAUAAAUAAAACUAUCUAGUGUAGACCCGGCAAUGCCGAUCAUAGGAGAAGUUACGCCGGGGAUAACAGGCUAAUCCAUUAGUAGAGAACGUAUUGGCUAAUGGGAUUGGCACCUCGAUGUUGAAUCAGGGAUGAUACCUUUAAGGCGUAGAAGCUUUAAAAGUGGGUCUGUUCGACCUUUAAUACCCUACGUGAUCUGAUUCAGACCGGAAAGUAGCUA